rnacentral:rRNA from 1 species
UUUAUGGAGAGUUUGAUCCUGGCUCAGGAUGAACGCUGGCGGCGUGCCUAAUACAUGCAAGUCGAGCGAACGGACGAAAAGCUUGCUUCUCUGAUGUUAGCGGCGGACGGGUGAGUAACACGUGGAUAACCUACCUAUAAGACUGGGAUAACUUCGGGAAACCG